AUAUCAAUAAGCGGAGGGAAAGAAACUAACAAGGAUUCCCUCAGUAACGGCGAGUGAAGCGGGAAUAGCUCAAAUUUAAAAUCUGGCGUAAAAGCCCGAAUUGUAGUCUAAAGAGGCGUUAUCGGACACGAGCCUGCCGUACAAGUUCCCUGGAAUAGGACAUCACAGAGGGUGAGAAUCCCGUCUGGACGGUAGGCGAGUGGGCAUAUGAGACGUUCUCAAAGAGUCGAGUUGUUUGGGAUUGCAGCUCAAAAUGGGAGGUAAAUUUCAUCUAAAGCUAAAUAUUGGCCAGAGACCGAUAGCGCACAAGUA
rnacentral:rRNA from 1 species